UGGUAAUACAUCAUGAUAAUAUCUACCUAUUGUCUAAAUGAGGUCAUGAUAUCUUUUAAAACAUUUAGAGGGGGCCAUGUUGAAAAAAAUCAAUAAAAGGGAGAUAACUUCUAAAAGAGAUGAUGAAAUCCUACAAAAGUUCAUCUGGUAAAAGUUCAUGAUGAGGUCUAUCGAUGGUUUAAAUUUGGUAUUGAUAACUCCAAUAGAAGCGGUAGGAGUGCGUGCCAAACAAAUGCUGGAAGGAAAAAAAAAAAGAAAAAAAAAACAUUAGAAAAACAAUAAGGUCUUUCCUCGGGAAGAGGAAAGACCUUAACUAGUAUCUCAAUUGUUUGUAAAACAAUUGAAAGGUCUUUCCUGUAAAAGUGAUGUUUUCGUAAUGUACUUUUUACGACCUCUCGUUUGAUAUACGACAAGCAUACCUUUUGAAACUUUUCGCUUUUUACACUUAAUGACCU
rnacentral:lncRNA from 1 species